AGAGUUUGAUCAUGGCUCAGAUUGAACGCUGGCGGCAGGCCUAACACAUGCAAGUCGAGCGGUAACACAGAGGAGCUUGCUCCUUGGGUGACGAGCGGCGGACGGGUGAGUAAUGCCUGGGGAUCUGCCCGAUAGAGGGGGAUAACUACGGGAAACUGUAGCUAAUACCGCAUAACGUCUACGGACCAAAGUGGGGGCUCUUCGGACCUCAUGCUAUCGGAUGAACCCAGGUGGGAUUAGCUAGUUGGUGAGGUAAUGGCUCCCCAAGGCGACGAUCUCUAACUGGUUUGAGAGAAUGACCAGUCACACUGGAACUGAGACACGGUCCAGACUCCUACGGGAGGCAGCAGUGGGGAAUAUUGCACAAUGGGCGCAAGCCUGAUGCAGCCAUGCCGCGUGUGUGAAGAAGGCCUUCGGGUUGUAAAGCACUUUCAGCGGGGAGGAAGGGUCACUAGUUAAUACCUAGUGGCAUUGACGUUA
rnacentral:rRNA from 1 species